rnacentral:rRNA from 1 species
UACGUAGGGACCAAGCGUUGUUCGGAUUUACUGGGCGUAAAGGGCGCGUAGGCGGCAUGACAAGUCACUUGUGAAAUCUCCGGGCUUAACUCGGAACGGCCAAGUGAAACUGUCAAGCUAGAGUGCGGAAGGGGCAAUCGGAAUUCUUGGUGUAGCGGUGAAAUGCGUAGAUAUCAAGAGGAACACCUGAGGUGAAGACGGGUUGCUGGGCCGACACUGACGCUGAUGCGCGAAAGCUAGGGGAGCGAACGGG